CCUCCUCGUCUCUCUGGCCUUUUUUUUUUCUUCUCUCUCUGGUUGGGCACGCACGAGGAGGCCUUUUUUCUCCUGGGCCGGGCUAAUUGAGCCCAACCAUUUUCUUCUCUUUUAUCUUUUUUUUUAGUUCCUGUCCGGUUGCCUCUCCGAGCUCCGGCGGCCGGCGACCGUGGGUGCUCCCAAACCCCCGCGUGCCAAUAGGGCAACCGACCGGCACAUUUCGGUUCGAACCGAACCGACCGAGCUGUAACCCCUAAGUGGCUUGAGGUCUGCUCACUGGCUCACCGCAUCGCAUCCUCGCUGAUCGGCGCUCAACCACCAGCACCGGCGGCGGCGAGUAACCUCAAGGGCGCGGCGCUGGCUCUUCUCCGUCUCCUCGCUGCCACGGACGUCCACGACCUCCUCCCCCUCAUACCCACCCACCCCUUCCAACUCCAAUGGCAGCAUGCCCGCCAGCUGCUCGACGAAAUGAAACGGCCGACCAACUGACCAGCAUCCAUGCCCAAUCUACUCGAUGGCAGGCAAUGGAGGCGCCCCAAAUAUUUUGAUGAAGGGUGUGAUGGUGUUUGUUCUUGUUACACGCCGAGUGCCGCUGCAUGCGCCGACUUGAUUUAGUUCAUCGGAAAGUUGGGCCCGGAAACUAGAAUUCACAAGCUUGCAAGCGUCACAACUGAGGCCUUUGACGCGCGGCGCAUGGAUGCAGGCAUACGCUGUCGAGAGAGCUAAGCUGAGUACCUGAUGGACUUUUGUGGUUCUGUAGUGAGUUCGGUAAUGAUGUUAAGUUGCUACACUGUUUUGUAUCAGAGGUCUGUAUUUAACUAUGGCUGGAGAUCAUUCUCUAGUAACUGAAAAAGACAAGUCUGAGUUGGAAACUUUGGCCAGAAGGAGCAGCUUGGUUAUUGGCAA